GCCCAAACCUGUCUGUCACACAGCAAGGGAGCCGCUACCCUGUGGACCUUCCCUGUCAGGACUAUGAUGAACUGAAACCUGACUCUGGUGAAAGUAACUCAAGAGAAUAUAGGCCAGCUAAAUCUCUUUGUUGAUGAUGAUCCACCUCACUCCCUUCUGGCUCUUCAUGCACC